rnacentral:rRNA from 1 species
ACUCCUACGGGAGGCAGCAGUGGGGAAUUUUCCGCAAUGGGCGCAAGCCUGACGGAGCAAGACCGCGUGAGGGAGGAAGGCUCUUGGGUUGUAAACCUCUUUUAUCAGGGAAGAAGAUCUGACGGUACCUGAUGAAUCAGCAUCGGCUAACUCCGUGCCAGCAGCCGCGGUAAUACGGAGGAUGCAAGCGUUAUCCGGAUUUAUUGGGCGUAAAGCGUCCGCAGGUGGUUUUUCAAGUCUGCUGUUAAAGCGCAGAGCUUAACUCUGUAACGGCGGUGGAAACUGAGAGACUAGAGUAUGGUAGGGGUUGCGGGAAUUCCCAGUGUAGCGGUGAAAUGCGUAGAUAUUGGGAAGAACACCAGCGGCGAAAGCGCGCAACUGGGCCAUUACUGACACUCAUGGACGAAAGCUAGGGGAGCGAAAGGGAUUAGAUACCCCUGUAGUCCUAGCUGUAAACGAUGGGUACUAGGUGUUGACCGUAUCGACCCGGUCAGUGCCGUAGCUAACGCGUUAAGUACCCCGCCUGGGGAGUAUGCACGCAAGUGUGAAACUCAAAGGAAUUGACGGGGGCCCGCACAAGCGGUGGAGUAUGUGGUUUAAUUCGAUGCAACGCGAAGAACCUUACCAGGGCUUGACAUGUCGCGAAUCUCGGUGAAAGUCGAGAGUGCCUUCGGGAGCGCGAACACAGGUGGUGCAUGGCUGUCGUCAGCUCGUGUCGUGAGAUGUUGGGUUAAGUCCCGCAACGAGCGCAACCCUCGUUUUUAGUUGCCAGCAUUUAGUUGGGCACUUUAGAGAGACUGCCGGUGACAAACCGGAGGAAGGUGGGGAUGACGUCAAGUCAGCAUGCCCCUUACGUCCUGGGCUACACACGUACUACAAUGCUUCGGACAAAGGGUUGCGAGCUAGCGAUAGCAAGCUAAUCCCGUAAACCGAGGCUCAGUUCAGAUUGCAGGCUGCAACUCGCCUGCAUGAAGGAGGAAUCGCUAGUAAUCCCAGGUCAGCAUACUGGGGUGAAUACGUUCCCGGGCCUUGUACAC